ACGUGAAUUAGUGAGAGGUUCAAACUUCACCAGGCUUCAGUGUCACAUCUUUUCACACGGGCACCCCGAGGGCCCGGACUGGAAAGGUUCCCAGGAAACGAUGCCAGCGCUUUGAGUAGCGAGGAGGUGGAGAAAUAGCCCGUGCCGUUUGCAAGCUUUGAAGGUCCAGGCUCUCUUUCACACUCCUCAAUGUCAUCUCAAACUGUCAAACGCAGCCACAUCCCUUAUACGAUACAUGUUCUGUAGUAAAAGUGUUUUGUUGUGCCGUAAGAUACAGAAAGUGUUUUUAAAAAUUAA
rnacentral:sRNA from 1 species